GACGGAGGAUGCAAGUGUUAUCCGGAAUCACUGGGCGUAAAGCGUCUGUAGGUCGUUUCAAUAAGUCAACUGUUAAAUCUUGAGGCUCAACUUCAAAAAUCGCAGUCGAAAACUAUUAAACUAGAGUAUAGUAGGGGUAAAGGGAAUUUCCAGUGGAGCGGUGAAAAUGCGUAGAGAUUGGAAAGAACACCAAUGGCGAAAGCACUUUACUGGGCUAUUACUGACACUGAGAGACGAAAGCUAGGGUAGCAAAUGGG
rnacentral:rRNA from 1 species